rnacentral:misc_RNA from 1 species
GAUGAAGAACGUAGCGAAAUGCGAUAAGUAGUGUGAAUUGCAGAAUUUAGUGAAUCAUCGAAUCUUUGAACGCACAUUGCGCCCUUUGGUAUUCCUUAGGGCAUGCCUGUUCGAGCGUCAUCUACACCCUCAAGCACAGCUUGGUGAUGGGCGCCUGUCCCGCCCCCCACGGGGGCGCGGACUCGCCUCAAAUGCAUUGGCGGCCGGCGACCUGGCUUCGAGCGCAGCAGAAACGCGUACUCGGGGACCGGGCGCCCGCUCCCAGAAGCCAACCCACCAAGUUUGACCUCGGAUCAGGUAGGGAUACCCGCUGAACUUAAGCAUAUCAAUAAGCGGAGGA